rnacentral:rRNA from 1 species
ACGCUGGCGGCGUGCCUAAUACAUGCAAGUAGAACGCUGAAGCUUGGUGCUUGCACCGAGCGGAGGAGUUGCGAACGGGUGAGUAACGCGUAGGUAACCUGCCUCUUAGCGGGGGAUAACUAUUGGAAACGAUAGCUAAUACCGCAUAAAAGUCGACAUUGCAUGAUGUUGACUUGAAAGGUGCAAAUGCAUCACUAAGAGAUGGACCUGCGUUGUAUUAGCUAGUUGGUGAGGUAACGGCUCACCAAGGCGACGAUACAUAGCCGACCUGAGAGGGUGAUCGGCCACACUGGGACUGAGACACGGCCCAGACUCCUACGGGAGGCAGCAGUAGGGAAUCUUCGGCAAUGGACGGAAGUCUGACCGAGCAACGCCGCGUGAGUGAAGAAGGUUUUCGGAUCGUAAAGCUCUGUUGUAAGAGAAGAACGAGUGUGAGAGUGGAAGGUUCACACUGUGACGGUAACUUACCAGAAAGGGACGGCUAACUACGUGCCAGCAGCCGCGGUAAUACGUAGGUCCCGAGCGUUAUCCGGAUUUAUUGGGCGUAAAGCGAGCGCAGGCGGUUAGAUAAGUCUGAAGUUAAAGGCUGUGGCUUAACCAUAGUACGCUUUGGAAACUGUUUAACUUGAGUGCAGAAGGGGAGAGUGGAAUUCCAUGUGUAGCGGUGAAAUGCGUAGAUAUAUGGAGGAACACCGGUGGCGAAAGCGGCUCUCUGGUCUGUAACUGACGCUGAGGCUCGAAAGCGUGGGGAGCAAACAGGAUUAGAUACCCUGGUAGUCCACGCCGUAAACGAUGAGUGCUAGGUGUUGGGUCCUUUCCGGGACUCAGUGCCGCAGCUAACGCAUUAAGCACUCCGCCUGGGGAGUACGACCGCAAGGUUGAAACUCAAAGGAAUUGACGGGGGCCCGCACAAGCGGUGG